AUGGCCGGUGGUCCCUGUUCGUCCCGGCUGCAGACACUGAGGUUUUUGCAUGGCCCUGUAUCACUGUGUGGUGCAUUCGGGGCUGGGACCAUGUUGACCGUCCUAGGGCAGCCCAAGGUCUCCCCCACCGUCUACCUCUUCCCGCCAUCUUCCGAUGAGCUCUCAACACAGAACAAAGCCACCCUGGUGUGUCUGCUGGGAGACUUCUACCCGCGCAGCGUGCAGGUGGCCUGGACGGCCGAUGGCCGCACCCUCUCCAGUGGCAUCGAGACCAGCCAGCCCCAGCGGCAGACCAACAACCAGUACAUGGCCAGCAGCUACCUGACGCUGAGUGCUGCCGACUGGAAGAGCCACGAGACCUACGCAUGCAAGGUCACGCACGAGGCCGGCAACGUGGAGAAGAGCUUGAAGAGAUCCGAGUGCUCCUAA